ensembl:lncRNA
UGCAGCCGCAGUCUGGGACUUGUCUGAGCGCGCUCGCACUAGGGGGAUCGCAAAAGGUUGGAUACGGAAGAAUACAGGCCCGAGUUGUAAAGUCCUAGAACUGCAGAGACGUAACUUGGGGAGCUCAAUGCCUGAGAGAGGGGCUCUGGGGAAGGCCAGUAAACCUGGAUAAAACAUUACUGUCUCCUUCGAGCCGGAGUCGAACCAGCGACCUAAGGAUGUCUUCUCACAAGGAAGUUAGCUACAGUCCUCCGCUCUACCAACUGAGCUAUCGAAGGGACAUGAGUUACUUUUUUGCCCCUUGACACUAAACACAACUGAAUCAGGGAGUUCCUCAGGCAGACGGAGUUGCGCAUGCGCAUUUCUCAGACCUUGCGACGUCAGGGACGCGGGUCGUUUUACGCAUGUGCACGACCACCGUUCUGCCCCCGGCAAUCCCGAGCGGCCUAGAAAGGUCCCAAGCAGUGUCCCCGGGAGGCCUAGGCUCUGGUUCUCCUUCGUCGCCUGGCCUGCCUGUAGUCCCUUUUCUUUUAUCACUAUUUGUUGUCGUCCCGGUGAGUAUAGAGAACUAACUCAUGCUGUCAUCCUGAAAGUCCCGAGAAGAGUCCUCAUGAAUGGGCCAGUGGCGCAAUGGAUAACGCGUCUGACUACGGAUCAGAAGAUUGUAGGUUCGACUCCUGCCUGGCUCGAGCUUUUGGAGCUGACUUUAAGCUAGGUCAGCAAUUGGCCCCUGAUGUUACUGUUGUGAACUUCCUGGAAACUGAACCUCCCCCAUCACACAUUCUCCCACCCCCAUACCCCCCUUCAAGCCGGCCAACUCAUCAAGACUUUGUGUACAGUUCAAAAGUUUCCGCAUUUACUUUACCUAAGUGGGCCACUUCUUGGUGUGAUGUGACCAGCUGCCUCAAGGUCCUGCCUCAGUGAUGGACUAGACCCUGGAAUUCUUAAGUCAAAUAAACCCUUUCUUCUCAAAGUUGCCCUUUGUCUAUGUGUUUUACUACAACAAGAGAAAUAAAACUAUAACAUCCCACCAAGACAGCAUUGCUCUGUCAUUUACUAUAAUCAC